rnacentral:pre_miRNA from 1 species
AGCCUUUCGAAUACGCGCUGAGAUUUCGUCAGACACCAACCCAUUAGGAAUGAUCAGACUUCCAAGAUAAGUGAAGUU